GAUGAACGCUGGCGGCGUGCCUAACACAUGCAAGUCGAACGGAGAUUACAGACGGAAGUUUUCGGAUGGAAGACUGUAAUUCUUAGUGGCGGACGGGUGAGUAACGCGUGGGCAACCUGCCCUAUACAGGGGGAUAGCAGCUGGAAACGGCUGGUAAGACCGCAUAAGUCGGUUAAAUCGCAUGAUUUGACCGGGAAAUGAGCAAUCAGGUAUAGGAUGGGCCCGCGUCCGAUUAGCCAGUUGGCAGGGUAAAAGCCUACCAAAGCGACGAUCGGUAGCCGGACUGAGAGGUCGGACGGCCACAUUGGGACUGAGACACGGCCCAAACUCCUACGGGAGGCAGCAGUGGGGGAUAUUGCACAAUGGAGGAAACUCUGAUGCAGCGACGCCGCGUGAGUGAAGAAGUAUUUCGGUAUGUAAAGCUCUAUCAGCAGGGAAGAUGAUGACGUACCUGACUAAGAGCCCCGCA
rnacentral:rRNA from 1 species